rnacentral:hammerhead_ribozyme from 1 species
AUUCAGCUGAAGAGUUCCAAACAGAACGAAACACGCGUCAAACUGAAU